UGUCCUGCCUGGUCAGUUGGUGGCCGUUAUCUCCACUCUGGCGGAGGCAGUCACUCUCCUGGACUCCUCCUUCCCAAAUCUCUUUCUCAAAAGAGCUUUGGGUGUGAAGAUCUAUUUUUCUCCACCCGGUCCCACCUCCACUUGUAGCGGCAAAGUGUUCAGAGAUGAAAUGUUUUUCUGACCCCCAAGCAUUAAAGGCUAAGGGACUCUGUCAAACAGACUAAGAAAGGGUAGAGGUGCUGGACUCUCUUACCUUUUUCUUUUUGGUCAAACUUCCAAACACACAAGGUAACAAAGAUCAGCAAGCUACUACAUAAAGAAAAAUGACCGGCUGCUGGCGCUGCGUCCUCGGGUCGCGCUGUGGUUGAGGCUCCUCGCAGCUUGGCCUCAGAAAGUGCAUCCUGUGAAGUAUCUGUGUCUUCUAAGUCUCGAUGUUGGCCUGUAUCAGGAGGUUCCUGUUCUUCUGGGAUAUCAGUGACAAUGUCUUCACAUGACUUGGAUUACAAUAAAGUAAUUGAGUGUCCAAAGGCCUGAUGCCCCGGCCAGCGGGGUGUCAACGGGGGCGACCCACCUGCGGGAGAGAAUGAGAGGGACGGGUGAGACACGAAAGGACGACAGCAAGACAGUGUGUUCUGAUCAAGCUGCAAAUUUUAUUCUCCUCAGCAAGGGGUAUAUAGCAGGAGAGGGGGCAGGAAGGAGGGAAGGGGUGCAUGACGUGCCACACGCGCAGGUGAAGGGGGACGUGCAGGUGAAGGGCUACGUGCAAGAAGUCGUGAGGCUGCAGGUGGUAAGGUCACUGGUCAGGGCUCAUUUUUUUGUUGCUAUGCCCUCUCAUUGUUUUCCCUUUAAGACAAUAUACAUUUAUUAGCCAAAAGUUAAUUUUACCAUUCUAAAAAUAGUAGUUUUGCUCUUUGUCCUCCCCAAAUUUGAAGAGCCUGUAUCAUGGUACUGCUUUAAGUAUGUUCUUAUUUCUUAAAUUACUAGAGUAAAUCUUAUGUAUUUGGGUUGGGGUGAUACCUCAAUCUGCAAAGUGCUUGCCACACAAAAUUGAGGACCUGAGUUCAGUCCUCAGCAGAGGUCCAAAGCUGGGCAUGCUUGCAGUCCCUGUGCUAGCUAGACAGAGUUGGAUCCCUGGGGCCCUCUGGACAGAGAUCCUAGCUCAAUCUGUGAGCCUCAAGACAGUGAGAGACCCUGUUCCAAAACCCAAACUGAACAGCUCCUGAGGGGCCACACCCGAGGUUCACCUCUGACCUUUCCUGCACAUGCAGACGCUCCCCCUCCCCCAAUAUACACACUCACACUAACAGAAGUUACACAGCUGUUACCCAGGCAUCUUACUUGUUGAGAAAUAAUCAUCUCUUGACAUCUGACACAUGCCACAUGGCCAGGAAACAGCCAAAGCAAGAGCCUUCCUCUGCCUCUUGCACGUAGGGUU